GCAAAAUGUGACGUGGUUCUCUCUCUAAUCUCUGUCCUAGCCGAUUCAGAAGAUUGCCAAUACCUUCUCCACCGCUUGCCGAUAAAACUCCUCUCUGAACUCUUCCUCUUCUUCAAUCGGUUGUACCUCUAGGGUUCGGAAUUCAGUCUUUAGCAAUAUAUCAGAGAUGUCUGUUUGGUACUUCUACUGCCUCUGUUAAGCCAGAAAAUCAAGCAUCAAACAGUUCUGGAGAGGCUAAUUCUCGCAAUGAAAAUCAUUCCGGAGGAUCACAUCAGAGCAGUGAAUCUGGAAAAUCUGUUCGAGGAGGGCCUGUUUCGUGGUUGAGUUUUUUUUCUUUUGCUCAUUGUGGCUCGAUUUGAUUAUUAUCAAAUUCUAGAUCUAAGUCCGCACAGAUCGAUGUUGAAUUUUCUGGAAUGUAUUUCCCAUCAAAUGAUGUUGAUUUGACGUAGAGGACGUAGAGGACGUAGUUCCCAUCAACUAGACAAAUCAAACACAAGAAACUCACAAAUUCCGAUCCUGUGAUUCCCAGAAGCCAGACAGAGGUCUUGCUCAUGCCGGACUUGGCCUGGGAGAUAACUUCUAUGCCGUUGAUUAUGGGCACCAUGGAUCGCCGAGGAAGGAGAAGAGGAAGCCUCUGUACCGAAGAAUGGAAACUAGGAGGUGUCCUCCAAGAAUGGAAAUUGGUUUUGCCCACUUGGGAGAAGAGGAAGGUGGAUAGGAUGGGAGGAGGUUUGAUUGGGAGAGUCUAAGAGAGAAGCACGAAAUUUCGAGAGAAAGAGAGAAAAUGAGAAAAAUUAAUAAAAUAAGUAUACGUAUGUAAACAGUGUCACGCCACAUGAGGUGUGACACUGUUUACAAAUUCAGGGAAAAUUUAUUGUAGGGUUAGUUUGUAUAAUCCGUUGGACGAGUGUUUUGACGUUUUUGUUACCU